rnacentral:rRNA from 1 species
AUUGAACGCUGGCGGCAGGCCUAACACAUGCAAGUCGAACGAGUGGCGGACGGGUGAGUAAUGUCUGGGAAACUGCCUGAUGGAGGGGGAUAACUACUGGAAACGGUAGCUAAUACCGCAUACCAUCAGAUGUGCCCCGAUGGGAUUAGCUUGUUGGUGGGGUAACGGCUACCAAAGGAGACGAUCCCUCGCUGGUCUGAGAGGAUGACCAGCCACAAUGGAAGUGAGACACGGUCCAGACGCCUACGGGAGGCAGCAGUGGGGAAUAUUGCACAAUGGGCGCAAGCCGGAUGAAGCCAUGCCGCGUGUAUGAAGAAGGCAUUCGGGUGGUAAAGUACUUGAAGCGGGGAGGCGUUACCCGCAGAAGAAGAACCGGCUAACUCCGUGCCAGCCGCCGCGGUAAUUC